rfam:Picea glauca, whole genome shotgun sequence.
CUCAAAAUCAAUCUUUAUCACAAGUUUAACUAGAACUAUAGCAUUGACAAAAAGAU